CGUCCGCAUUCACUCUUUCGCUGUCGUUCAUCGCCCCAGAACUCACCGUUAUCAGACACGUCUGUCUGUGACGUCCCUCUUUGCCUCCCACCAUUCACUGAGACAGACACGGCACACGUCUCUUUUUCUUUUUGCAAAAUUCCUGUCGCCCUUACAUGUAGUUCACCUUUUGCCCCCCCCCCCCCCGCCCAUUCUCAAUACGAGAGAAACCCUCGCCGCGGCACUCGAGGCCACGCGUCGGCUCUCUCGUCCUUCUCUUUCUUUUUGCCUCCUCUGCAGAGAGAUGCACCGCCCCGCGUGACAGCUCUCCGCGCUUUAGUAUUAUUAUUUUCUGUUGCAAGUCACUGGGAGAAAGGGAGGAAGGGAUAGGCGGCAGGGUGCACAGGCGAGAGAGCGCAGCCCUCGCACCUUAUCAGCCGCUGUUUUAGUUGUCUGGCGCUUGCUUCACGCUUCCCUUCCCAAUUGAGUGAUACACGCCAUCUGUCACCAAGUCCAUGUCAGCAGAGCACCACUUGCGCCCCGCCGACACGGGCGAGGAGGGCAUCUAUGCUCGCUCUCCUCUCACGGCAAGGGAGGAGGCAACGCAGCUUUUGCCUGGCAGUCGCUUCCUGAGCACGAUGGAGUUCAAGCGCAUCUACCUCGGCGGUGGCACUGUCGGUGAUGCGUCGACGGCUGCGACCGCACGUCCCUCAAGCUCGUCCCCGCCUGGCACCUUCGCGAAGCGUGUGCAUCUGUCUUCCCUUUUGACAAAUUCGGCCCCAUGGGGGACCCAUGCCGGCCCAUCUCCCCAUGCCAUUCGUGCUCCGUGCAAACCCGCCACCGACACUGCUGCACGUUUCCAUAGCAAAGGCGAUACCCGAGGGACAGCGCGUCAGCUACGGUAUUUGUACGGUGGUGCGUGUGGCCGUAUACAUGUACCGGCAGCGUCUGAAACGCACACGCCUUCACCUCGACGAACAACGGCACCAAGACCCUCCGCAGAUGAGUACAGUCCAUAUGCCGCGAAAACGCUAACGAGCGAAGCACCACAGGUCGUUGCGCCAGCUAUACUGUACUCAGCACACAAGCCGCUGCCGCACCAGCUGCGCUCGCGUGUGCACUCGGCCCGCCGUGCCACGUCGCCGUCAAUGAAGACGAAGCUCGGCGCGGAGCCCCUGCCUCGUAGCCAGCUGCGUACAGAGGAUGCAUGGCUCGCACUGACGCGUGAGCUGAUGAAUAAGAAAAUGGAGGUGCAGAACCUUCAGCAGCAGCUGCAGCGCACGCACGUCCUGCUACGCUCUCUGCACGGCAUCACAGACAGCAUAGUCGACGAGGGCGAUGAAGCUGCUGACGCGGACGCUAUCGCUGCUGUUGACACGUCAGCAGCUGUGGCCACAAGCGGCAAGUUGACAGGUGGAAGCGGGCCGGAGAUGGGCCCCUCUUCAGAGCUGCCCCGUCCGAGAGAGUACUGGCAGCGACGCGCGUACUUUUUGAUGAAGCAGAACGAGGAGCUGCAGGCGGAGUCUGAUCGGCUGCGCCGCGACUCGCGCGGUCGCAAAGUGCGCGAUUUGCUGCAAGAGCUCAAGUCAGUGCGUGGAGAGCUUAGUCGGUAUCGGAGACAGGCCGGCGUUGCAGCUGCGUCGUCGCCUUCUGCCAAGGAACUGGCAUCGGAGCCUGGUGGCCCCGAAGCUGACUUAGGCAUCCCUCCGCACGACGACGGAAAGCUGGCAAGCAGUCCUCUGGCACCGCGACUAACGCAUCGGGGUAGCGAGACGUCGUCGUUUCUCGAACCCGCCGUCGACGAUGCGUUUCUCCGCCAGAAGGACGACACCAUCUGCGGACUGCAAGAGCGUCUUCGCCUGCUGACACAGCAGUACGAGCAGACUGAUGCGAGGCUCAUAGAGACAACGCGACAACUGGAGGAUAUGACGCACCGCCACUGCGCCAUGCAGGUGGAGUGGAAGGCGCUGAUGGAGCUCCCGCAGGAACUCGCUCGCACGCAGCAGCAGUUAGCCGUCGCCCGGGCCCGCCUCCUCGACUGUGAUCGAGAAGUGGCGGCGUUCCACCAGGUGUUCGACACGCAGUCGUCGCCCGCCACGCUGCGCGCCAUAAUUGACGAGCGUGAUCACCUCGUCGAGCUUCUGCAGCAGAGUCGCGAAAACGAGGCAGCCUUGCGCGAGGAGGCGCAGGCGGCACAGCAACAGGCGGUGCGAGCCAUGGAAAAAAAGUAUCAGGAGCAGUGCGCGGAGCAACGUGCCAUGGCACGCGAUCGCGAGGCGCAGCAGGAGGAGACAAUACAGAAACUGCGGAAGCAAGUCGCCACCCUUGAGCACGUGCUGGAGGUGCAGAGAGGUGCAUACGAGGGACAGCUGGCAGAGUACGCGGAGGAGCGUGAGGCGGAGCUGACAAAGCGGCUUCUCGAGUCGCUACGGCGGCCCGAGAAUGGAAUGGAAAGUAUUGCCCUAUCCGCGCCUCGUUCACUUGGUACAGCUGCGUCGGUGCGGCCCACGUUGCCAGACGGGCAGCCACCCACGACUGAUGUCUCCCGUCUUUCGGCAUGCGAGGCGUCACUGAUGUCGACGCCGGCACGUGCGUCGUCGUCGCUACGCUGUCCAAGCGCCGAACACGCACAGGCGGACCCGAUGCUUCGGACAGCCAGUUUCCUCGAGAGUGUAACGUCGCCCUGCAGCGCGGGAGGGGCCGCGAAUGCCACAGUCGCGCAAGGCGACGACGCCUUUCCCGCCGACAGAGUCGCAGGCAAGUCGACACUGUCUUUCAUGCCGGAUACAACAGACAGCAACUCCAGCUAUGACUCGCUAACCGGCGACAGCCAAGACGACGUGACGUCGCUUUCCUCCGCGUCGGCGCGUCAAUCGCGUCGCAUCAUCGGUGGCUCGACCUCUUCCUCGACGCGUACACGUGGCGGUGAGCGUGUGCGCUACGUCACAGUACGCAAAGAGUUGGCAGACGACUGCGCUGCUGCUGCGACAGACGAAGCGAGGGUUACAGCGGCCUUCUCGAGCUCCACGGAUGACUACAGCGACGGCGAAGGUAGUUAUGGAGAUGACGAAACAGUAGAGAAGGCCAGCGGACCAGACUCAGGCUCCUCCGUCGUCUCCUCGGCAGACUCUUCCACCCAGCUCACUUCCGGAGCCGAGGGCGUGGCCAAGCAGCAGCAGAUUGCCACGAACACGGCUAAUACCGCCCCCGCCAAGGUCCACAGCUACGUCAUCGAUCUCCCUGCACCGCCGAUUGCCGUGGUUUCACCAGUAUCCAUCCUUAUCAACCGCACCACCAUGACCGGCCCCCUGUUCUCCUCCAGUGUGCGGGCUGUCGUGCACUCGCCUGACAUCAGCUCGCAACGGACAGCGUCGGCCGCAGACCUCACCCACACUCAGCAGACGCUGCCAGAUAUCAGCGAAGCCACGAGCAGCGGCUCAUUCUCGGCCUCUUCUUCAACCUCUUCCGCGUUGAACUCGCCGCACUCCGGCGAUGAUGAUGGCCCAAGCCCCCGUGCAGAUUCCAACCGAAGUGAGCCACACGGUGGCCCGCUGCAGCCGAUGGAAAAGGGCAGCGUAGCGAAGUUCAAUAGCAGCAGCAUCGCUGGGUCAGCAGCGCUGGCGGAGGCGGCCACGCGGCGGAUGCCGCCUCUACCCGAUCCCAAUGUUGCGGCGCCGCUCCCAAUGUUCCUUGCGGGGCGGCAGCCGCCUGAGUUGGAGGAAGCGGUCGCGACGGCUUCGUUCAAGGCGGCGCCGCGCGCAAAUGAACGGCGAUCUUCCCUUUCACUCGUCUCCUCUCCCGGCGCCAACGCGCUGACGACCGUGCACCCACGGGGCGGUGUGCCGAUCCCGUCUCCUGUCGCUGUUACUCCAGCUGUUGCCUCGAAUUUGUACCCGCAGCGACGCAGCAGCUCGUUUAUGGUGACGGGCGUCUACAACGACGAUGACUUCGGCGGAGUUGGUGCAGGGAUGAGUCGAGGCGGGGUGAGCUCCCGCAUGCUCAGCAACGAUCACAGCACAACCGUCGAUCUCACCAACCAGUACUCUGGUAACGCCUCUUUUGAUUUUGUGGGGGCCCUUGCGGAGCGUCACCGCCUGGAGGACAUGCAGAAUGCGUUUUUAUCUUUUCGGCUGUCGUCGACCGCGAAUGCAACCAUUGGCGGCGACGUCGGCGGUGAGAUGUCUGCCUUCCCGAUGGAGGGGUCUGGGAACAUCAACAGUGGCCGGUUUGCUGUGAUGGGGACAGGGGCGGUGGGGCUGCGCAAGACCCCAUCCCCUUUCGGCUCCGAUGCCUUGGAAGUGAGCGAGCCCGUUCUCUCCACAAGCCAUCAUAAAGGCGACGAAAAGGCCACGGGAUCAACGGCAGCUAUCGCAAAUGCCUCGCGGCAAGGUGAGGAUAGGGCGUCAGGCGACGGCGGGAGUGCCGGCUCUAUGGAGGUGCCCUACCCGGACGAUGACGAAGACAUGACCUCCAUCUCUGCCUACCGCGUCACUGCCGGGACGCGUGAGCGAGAAGAGGCGCCCCUUGCAGAUGCGCUUUCGUACACUGGUCCCACCGGCGGCAGCGCUCUUAGCAAGGUACCAAGCGAGGAUGCUUCAGCGGCGAAGAACCCAGUGCCGGAGACGACGAUGCAAAGCAUUCUUGCUGUAGAUGCUGCGCGCGACGCCUCCGCUUCUCCCAUGGCGAUUGCCUCGUCACUUGGGAGCUGUGGCAACCUCGUUCCAAGCGCGAAGACGCCCCCGCCGGAGGAGCAAGCAAUAUUGUCUUUUGGCUUUUAGGACAUGGGCAGAGCGACGUUGCAGGCCGAGGACGUCGAAUCCGCCGCGCCACCUGCUGCCGCCGCGAUCACGGAAGCGGCUGCCGUGCCAUCUUUUGUGCCUCUUCCGCCGAGAGUGGCGGUGCCUGCGCCGCCUUCCACCUAGGCACCUCAGCCGUAGCGCUGCCAAUACGGGCGUGGCUCGGGACGACAUGCAGCGCCUAAAGUCUCUCUUUUGAAUAGGACGUGACAAGAGUUUUUCCAAGGGCGCCUUCCUAGCGUGUCCAGGCGUGCGCGGGCGAGCACCUUUCGCUCAAACACCGUGCGCAUGCGCACAUCGUUCUCUUCUUCAUUUGUGGAUACGAACACCCACGGUCACGCAGACCUCCCCUCCUUCUCUUACGGCGCAUGGGACGCUAGAAGAGACCCUGGAGCUGGACCUACACAUGUUAAACGCAUAGUGGCGAACGAAUAGAGACGCAACGAAAAAGUGACGACGCGCGGACCCUUUUGCGGGUGCUUAUCGAGGAGCGUACCACCACCACGAGCCACGGUAGAGCGUCUCGUUGCAGUCGUCAUGGCUGCAGCUGAAGAGGUGCCCCUCCUACCUUGCCUCAUCAUACUCAUGCGUUUUCUUUCUCCUUCCGUCACCUUGGAUGCGGUUCAGCUCGGCGCGUGUCGUGCCCGUGCCACCCGCUGUGCGCCUGAGCCUUUUGCUCGGCCUCUCUCUCGUUUCCCGAACCCACGAGGCCCAUACAUGUGGAGCCGCGGCACGUCACCUCCGGCGCUCCCCCUCCGACGGCCUUCACAUGACUGCGCUUACGCAGGUGAAGGUGUGUAAAGGCAAUUCGGCGCAUGGGAGGGGUCAUGUGUGUGUGUGUGUGUAUGUGUUCUCGGGGUUGACUCUCUCGCAUGCUGCGCCUCACCGUCUCAUCGUAUGGACCGCUCGAAUACUUCUCCUUUUUUUUUGUUUUUGCUUCAACGUUUUAUUUUUGCGUGCACGGCUAUGCCCGGUGCAG
rnacentral:misc_RNA from 1 species